rnacentral:rRNA from 1 species
AGGUUGGGUAACACUAACUGGAGGACCGAACCGACUAAUGUUGAAAAAUUAGCGGAUGACCUGUGGCUGGGGGUGAAAGGCCAAUCAAACCGGGAGAUAGCUGGUUCUCCCCGAAAGCUAUUUAGGUAGCGCCUCGUGAAUUCAUCUCCGGGGGUAGAGCACUGUUUCGGCUAGGGGGCCAUCCCGGCUUACCAACCCGAUGCAAACUGCGAAUACCGGAGAAUGUUAUCACGGGAGACACACGGCGGGUGCUAACGUCCGUCGUGAAGAGGGAAACAACCCAGACCGCCAGCUAAGGUCCCAAAGUCAUGGUUAAGUGGGAAACGAUGUGGGAAGGCCCAGACAGCCAGGAUGUUGGCUUAGAAGCAGCCAUCAUUUAAAGAAAGCGUAAUAGCUCACUGGUCGAGUCGGCCUGCGCGGAAGAUGUAACGGGGCUAAACCAUGCACCGAAGCUGCGGCAGCGACACUGUGUGUUGUUGGGUA